CCUACGGGAUGCACCAGUGGGGAAUAUUGCACAAUGGGCGCAAGCCUGACGCAGCCAUGCCGCGUGUAUGAAGAAGGCCUUCGGGUUGUAAAGUACUUUCAGCGGGGAGGAAGGUGUUGUGGUUAAUAACCACAGCAAUUGACGUUACCCGUAGAAGAAGCACCGGCUAACUCCGUGCCAGCAGCCGCGGUAAUACGGAGGGUGCAAGCGUUAAUCGGAAUUACUGGGCGUAAAGCGCACGCAGGCGGUCUGUCAAGUCGGAUGUGAAAUCCCCGGGCUCAACCUGGGAACUGCAUUCGAAACUGGCAGGCUAGAGUCUUGUAGAGGGGGGUAGAAUUCCAUGUGUAGCGGUGAAAUGCGUAGAGAUGUGGAGGAAUACCGGUGGCGAAGGCGGCCCCCUGGACAAAGACUGACGCUCAGGUGCGAGAGCGUGGGGAGCAAACAGGAUUAGAUACCCGCGUAGUC
rnacentral:rRNA from 1 species